rnacentral:lncRNA from 1 species
UGGCCUGCUUGUUUGAAAAAUGGGAGUGAUUGGGUUGUGUUUGUGUGGGAAGAGGAAGCUUAGGAGCUUGUUUUGGAGGGUUAGAGCUGAGAUAAGGAGACAAGUGAAGGGUAGGACAUCCAAGCAGAAGUUUAGCUUCCACUAUGAUCCCUUCAGUUAUGCUCUCAACUUCGACAAUGGUAACUUCGGUUUCUUAUGCUGAUCAUCACUCCCAAACUAGAAUCAAUCAAAUCAUAGCUUGUUAAGUUCAUUUUAAGGUCUCUUUGUAUUCUAAGCUAUCUUCUUCUUCUUCUUCUUAUUUAUCACCUUUUCCCCCUUGUUUCUAGUUAGCUUUUUGAUCUUCAUCUGGGUAAUGAUUGUAACUGAAAUCCAACUUCAAAGAAAAUGCAAUCUACCUUUUAGCUAAACAACAAAAUCCUUUCCAUGAAGAUAUAUAUAUUUACAAAUGGUUUUCUUUUUCCUUUAAUGAGCCCACAAUGAUGCUUACCAAUUAACUAGUAUCAAAUUGAUAACAGUGUGAAAAGAGAUACCGUCGAAAAGGAGAAGGCAAUGCAAAUGGAGAUUUGGGUUUCGAUGUUUGAAUGUUAUGAAUUUGUGUAGAUUAAUGGCAUGCAAAGCUGAGUUUCUUUCAACGUCAAGCGGGUAGCUUUUGUUUAUGAGAAAUGUGUUAAAACUUGUUUUUAAUUCAGUGUUGACAGUUCUCUGACCGUAUCUCAGCUGGGGUUUUCCUCUUGUGGAUUUAUUUCUUCCAGCACCACAACUUCACUGCACUACUAUAAAUGCUCCAGCACCAGCACUAAUGUCUCAUCCGUUCGUUUUGUCUUGUAAUAUAACACCGUUUUACUUCGCCAUUGAAUAGGUUAGGGUCUGGGGUAUGAGCCAUCGGUUUUCAUUUGGAACACCCCUCCCUCCUUCACAGUUCACACUGCAUAUAUUUCUCUUUCGAAUCUUGUUUAAUUGGACCAUUAUUUCUUUCCCAGUUCCAUGUUCUCAUUAAUAUACUAAUGUAAAAAAGAUCAUUUGUGUGUGUGGUAAAAUACGUAUUGUGUUGAGCAGCCACCAGAUGUGUAGAUUCUAUAAGGAUGCAUGGUUGUUUUAAACUUAAACCGCCAUUUAACGUCUUCAAGAUGUGAUUUAGUGAUGAUUUGGUAUUAAUGAGGGUUUUAACUAAUUUGGGGCAAACAGUUUAGAAAGAGGCAAAAUAUUAGGACUAUGAGGUAGAGGAAUCUAACUGCACCGGCAUUUGACCUCUUCAAAUUUUAAAAUUGUCUGUGUACUUUCUUCUUUCUAUUAUUGAUCCUUUGGUAAAUAAAUAAAAAAACUAAAAAUCUUUUGCA